rnacentral:tRNA from 1 species
GAGGGUAUAGCUCAGGGGUAGAGUGUGUGCCUAGCAUACACAAGAUCCUGGGUUCAAUCCCCUGUACCUCCA